AGUGAACGCUGGCGGUAGGCCUAACACAUGCAAGUCGAACGGCAGCACAGUAAGAGCUUGCUCUUACGGGUGGCGAGUGGCGGACGAGUGAGGAAUACAUCGGAAUCUACUUUUUCGUGGGGGAUAACGUAGGGAAACUUACGCUAAUACCGCAUACGACCUACGGGUGAAAGCAGGGGAUCUUCGGACCUUGCGCGAUUGAAUGAGCCGAUGUCGGAUUAGCUAGUUGGCGGGGUAAAGGCCCACCAAGGCGACGAUCCGUAGCUGGUCUGAGAGGAUGAUCAGCCACACUGGAACUGAGACACGGUCCAGACUCCUACGGGAGGCAGCAGUGGGGAAUAUUGGACAAUGGGCGCAAGCCUGAUCCAGCCAUACCGCGUGAGUGAAGAAGGCCUUCGGGUUGUAAAGCCCUUUUGUUGGGAAAGAAAAGCAGCAGGUUAAUACCCCGCUGUUCUGACGGUACCCAAAGAAUAAGCACCGGCUAACUUCGUG
rnacentral:rRNA from 1 species